CACGCAUCGGAUUCAAAGGUGGAAAAAGAACUUUGAAAAUAUUCAAAAGAAACACUCUAACCUGUUCGCGCCUCCUCCUUGGAUCAGAAACUACUUCUCACCUAAGUUAACUAAGUUAGUUAUCUUAAGAGGCGACAACAUAUUGACAUGGUUGCGCUUCUUUUGCUCCCGUGUGUCCCCACUCCCCACUCCCUCCUCAUUCCUCAUUCCUCAUUCCUCAUUCCUCCUCAAAGGUACAGAAGAAAAAGAAGAUUUGGCCUAAUGCAAUGGUUAAACGCCUUCCCUGGAGCUUAUUCGCAGUAAGCCUAUAUAACUAUUAUCUAUCAGUGCACAGUUUUGCACUCCGUAUGUAGUUUGCAUUUGCAUGACAUGACAUUGAAAUCCCCGG
rnacentral:sRNA from 1 species